GACGAACGCUGGCGGCGUGCUUAACACAUGCAAGUCGAACGGUAAGGCCCUUCGGGGUACACGAGUGGCGAACGGGUGAGUAACACGUGGGUAAUCUGCCCUGCACUUCGGGAUAAGCCUGGGAAACUGGGUCUAAUACCGGAUAGGACCACUGCCUGCAUGGGUGGUGGUGGAAAGCUUUUGCGGUGUGGGAUGGGCCCGCGGCCUAUCAGCUUGUUGGUGGGGUGAUGGCCUACCAAGGCGACGAAGGGUAGCCGGCCUGAGAGGGUGACCGGACACACUGGGACUGGGAUACGGCCCAGACUCCUACGGGAGGCAGCAGUGGGGAAUAUUGCACAAUGGGCGCAAGCCUGAUGCAGCGACGCCGCGUGAGGGAUGACGGCCUUCGGGUUGUAAACCUCUUUCAGCACCGACGAAGCGCAAGUGACGGUAGGUGCAGAAGAAGGACCGGCCAACUACGUGCCAGCCGCCGCCGUAA
rnacentral:rRNA from 1 species